CGCGUUUCGCGAAUCAUUUGGUUCAGAUCGGGACUCCGAAGCGCGUUUCGCGAAUCAUUUGGUUCAGAUCGGGACUCCGAAUCGCGUUUCGAGAAUCAUUUGGUUCAGAUCGAGACUCCGAAUCGCGUUUCGCGAAUCAUUUGAUCGGGGCUUCGGAGCGGAUUUGCAAAACAUUUGAUUCUAUCAUGUACUUUUCUAGAUUAACUUUUAAUAAAGAGAAAAGAGGUUUAGAGACAGAUUUUUGUUAAUAGUCAGUUAGUAAUCCCACAGUCCAUAGCAUCAGUAACUGUAUAAUUAAGUAAGGGAAAAUUAAAACAAAAUAGGAUGAGUUUCAAUUUUUAUUUUAUUUUUGUAGCAAUGGUCAUCUUAACCUCUGUGCAGUGUUCAGGGUAUUUCAGGACCCCAAUUUAAAUUAUAAUUCUGCAUCAUACAAGUGUUUAUUUGAGUUGAAUAUUUCUAUAUUCAUGUAAGGAAACGAAGCCAUAAUUUGAUAAGUUUACAUUUACAUGUAUUCAUUUAGCAGAUGCUUUUAUCCAAAGCGACUUACAGAUGAGGAUAAAAAACAACACAACAAAAAGAGCAACAGAUAUUGUCUGAUAUGUUAAGAAAUAAUAUAAAAUAAAAAUGCUAAAAAAUGUUGCCAAAAAUAACUUUUUACGUAUUUAAAAAAAAAUUCUAAUGUUAUUUGCUUGAACAGCUGGUUAAUGAAUUCCAGCCUUGUGGGUUUUUGAAUGUGUGUACUUUUACAUGUCUACAUAUGUCACAAAUUGGAGUGCUUUGUUUUCAUACUAAAAGGAAGAGUUCUACAAAAUGUACAGACUGGAAACUUAUGUGCAGUGUGGAGACAUAUUAAAAAACUGUAUUCCAGGAUAUGUAGGUCGAUGAAGAAGAGGGGGACUCGACACCCACCCAGGCUUCUGCAGCGAGUUCUGCCAAAUCUGUGCUGACCUUCUUUGAGUGUUGUGUGCAUGUAGUGCAAUAGAUGCAAACUCCUCACCUUUCAGUGACAACUCACUUUUUUGAGGUUGAAAUGCGUCACCUAUGAGAUUUGCAUGGAUCCAAUGAGAGUGGAUCUUACAAGGAUACUUGUGAUCUAACGUGGGUAAAUAAAACAUGUUCCUAAAAAAGACAAAGUGCCACAAAACACACCGCAGGAGUCUCAAUAUACAUUUUACAAUUUAUUUAACUUGACAUGUCAUCUUAAUUUCACAAUAAAUACUGUUUCAAAGCAGAUUUACCAAGAACAAUGCAUAAUGCACUAUUAAAUAAACAAAUGCAACAUAUAAACAUUUUUAAAACAACAUGUAAAUAGAAAACUGUACAAAUAUACAUAUUUACACGCACACAGUCUAAUGCUGAAUGCAGAUACAGUUAACAAACAGAGACAGGCUCCAGCUCAAAUGUUCAUAAACACUGAAAACAGUGUGAGCUGCUAGACUUUGCUCAGAUCUGACAGAUUCACCAGAAAAUCCUGAACUGUGUGAUGAACACAUGAUUUCUUUAGUUUCAGACUUUGAUUUCAUCCAGUCUGAGAGUUUCACACACGUCUGAUAUUUGGAGUCAGUUCUUGAACACAUAUUGUUUCUAACCGUUUCUGCAGAUGUGAAGUGUGUGCUGUUUCUGUUGAAGUGUUGGUGAGUUCAGUGUCCAGCAGUGAGGUCACUAAUGUCCUGCACACCUCUCCAGUUUAAUCAGAGUCUGUGGGGCCCUCAGCAGACAUCAUUAUUGGCCCUCAGUGCUUCUGGAGAGACAGCGCAGGUAUAACCUCUGAGCAGACGCUUGUGUAACGUGACAGCAGUCAGAAUCAGAGCCAGCAGAAGCACAACCACAGUCAGUGCAAUCCAAGAGACGACAGCUGAAGAGAGAAGUAGAGACAGAGCACUUCUUUUAGUUUGACAUUCACUCUUUAACAGAUUUGUGAAGCUCUCGAUGCCUCCUGUUUCACUCACCGUCACAUUUAGUGUCAUCAGUGUGCUCCAGUGUUUCCUUUGAUUCUGUACAGAAUAUUGAAAGCUUAGUCUCACAGUUUAGUCUGAAUUUGCUGUUUAAAGAUAAUAUUUCUACACAUCACUGAGCUUCUCUCACCUCUGACUGUGACUGUGAUCAAGGUUUCUCCUUCAGUGUCCAGAACUCUGUAUGUUCCUGCAUCACUGUCCAGAAAUGAUUUAAUGAUCAGGUUUCCAUCAUUAUCAUCAUUCAUUCGGUCGCUCUGAACCCCGUGAUCUCUCGUCCAAACCUCCUUCCACUCUCCACUAGAGUUUGUCUUCACUUUAUCAGCAUCAGACACCAGAACAGACAUCUUUAGCUCCUCGCCUGUUUUCACAGAAAUCUCAUCUGAGGAGAAACAGAAAGACAUUAAUCAUUAUUAUAAUGCUGUCAAUCAAUCAAGACCAUAAACACAGAUU
ensembl:lncRNA